UCUUUCUCUCUUUCUUUACAUUUCCAUCUCUGUUCCAUUGACAACUCAUGUCAGGUGGUGAUGGAGCUAACUUUGUUCUAAAUGGCUAGCCAGCUGCCAGCACCAUUUGUUGAAAGAAUAUUUUCUUUACUUGCUAGUGCAAAUUAGCACCUUUGUCCUCCUGUAUUUAUGUUUAUAUUUGAAUAUGGUCUGUGCUUCUAAUUCUGUUCCUAUUAUGAAGAUUGUGCCUAUAUAAGACCCUGUGAGUUUAAUUAUCGUUUCAUAAUAAGUUUGGAUAUACAUUUUUGGACAGAUACCUCCCUAACAUUAUGCUCUUUGGAAUUUUUAUUGGCUAACUGGCCAUCCGUAAGCACUUAUCCUUCCGGAUGGACAUUUGGGGUCAAUUUUCCAACAAAUGUCAUGUUUUGAUUUUUAUUAGGAUUACGUUACACUUAUGUUCUUUGGGUGAUUAUAGACACCCUUACAAUGUUGGGAAAAUGGCUCGUUUUACUUUACUUGUGUCGAAGUCGGGUUUUUUUUUGGUUCUUUGGUAGGAUUUGGUGGGUUUGAGUCCUAUAAAUCCUUGACGCAUUUCUUGCCAAGUUAAUUCAAAGUUAUUUGUUGCCAUUGCAGACUGUGAUUAUACUCCCUUUCCUCCCCCCAGCCUCUCAUCAUUCUGCGGCAUUAACGUUUACGGCUUUUAUAACUGGCUACCUCGCAGAGCUCUAACUCAUCUUAACGUUUUCUCUGCUGGUUCCUUUGGAUAAUACAGGAGGCUGCUCUUGAGCUCAACUGCCUGAAUCCCCAUCCUGACUCACCAGCCGUCUGACUUCGAGCAAGAGGAAGACUUUGGCAGGUAAACAGAUGACCCUUCAGCCUGUACCUCCCUGUCUACCUGGGGGAGAGUCUGUUGCCUUGGUGCAAUUUUGGGAAUGAUGGACCCAGGAUUCGUAGAACUCAGAACCUCAGGUAAACGUACAGACAGAAAGAGAUGUUGAUGUUGGCCUCUUUCUGGAUAGGAAAGAACUGUCACGUCUAACCUCAGGGGCCUUCCUGAGUACGGAAGGAUCAAACAAAGUGAAUAAAGUGCAGAACAGCCUCCUGCUUGCUGCUCAGCAGAUCCAUUCUGUCGCCUUUUGGGUCCAGUGCUUGAAAUCUCCUGUGGGAAACCACUGCUUUCCUGUUCUUGGGAAUCUGGUUUGGCUUAAUCGGAUCAAUGUGUAUUUCACCUUCCUGCCCCAUACCAAAAUGAUUGGCUUGGGGAUGGUCAUAUA